GAGCAUGCUGAUUAAUUCGAUGCAACGCGAAGAACCUUACCUGGGUUUGACAUAUACCGGCCAGCCGUAGAGAUACGGACCCUUUUAGUCCGUAUACAGGUGGUGCAUGGCUGUCGGCAGCUCGUGUCGUGAGAUGUUGGGUUAAGUCCCGCAACGAGCGCAACCCUCGUUCUAUGUUGCCAGCAAGAAAUGGUGGGGACUCAUAGGAGACUGCCGGGGUCAACUCGGAGGAAG
rnacentral:rRNA from 1 species